UUGUGUGUGUGUGUGUGUGUGUGAAGCAUCAUUAUAAAGAACAUUGAGCAUCUACAUCACAUGGAAAAGUGCAACAGAAAUGCAAUGCAU